rnacentral:rRNA from 1 species
AGAACGAACGCUGGCGGCAUGCCUAACACAUGCAAGUCGAACGAGACCUUCGGGUCUAGUGGCGCACGGGCGCGUAACGCGUGGGAAUCUGCCCUUAGGUACGGAAUAACAGUGAGAAAUUACUGCUAAUACCGUAUGAUGUCUUCGGACCAAAGAUUUAUCGCCUAGGGAUGAGCCCGCGUUGGAUUAGCUAGUUGGUGGGGUAAAGGCCUACCAAGGCGACGAUCCAUAGCUGGUCUGAGAGGAUGAUCAGCCACACUGGGACUGAGACACGGCCCAGACUCCUACGGGAGGCAGCAGUGGGGAAUAUUGGACAAUGGGCGAAAGCCUGAUCCAGCAAUGCCGCGUGAGUGAAGAAGGCCUUCGGGUUGUAAAGCUCUUUUACCCGGGAAGAUAAUGACUGGUACCGGGAGAAUAAGCCCCGGCUAACUCCGUGCCAGCAGCCGC